AGUGAGACCACUAGUCAGGGAGGGAGACCCCUAGUCAGGGAGGGAGACCCCUAGUCAGGGAGGGAGACCACUAGUCAGGGAGGGAGACCACUAGUCAGGGAGGGAGACCACUAGUCAGGGAGGGAGACCACUAGGCAGGGAGGGAGGGAGACCACUAGUCAGGGAGGGAGACCCCUAGUCAGGGAGGGAGACCACUAGUCAGGGAGGGAGACCACUAGUCAGGGAGGGAGACCACUAGUCAGGGAGGGAGACCACUAGGCAGGGAGGGAGACCACUAGGCAGUGAGGGAGACAACUAGUCAGGGAGGGUGGGAGGGAGACCACUAAUCAGGGAGGGAGACCCCUAGUCAGGGAGGGAGACCACUAGUCAGGGAGGGAGACCACUACAGGGAGGGAGAGAGGGAGGGAGACCACUA
ensembl:lncRNA